GACGAACGCUGGCGGCGUGCUUAACACAUGCAAGUCGAAAGAAGUGGCGAACGGGGGAGUAACGCGUAAUCAACCUGCCCUUCAGAGGGGGACAACAGUUGGAAACGAAUGCUAAUACCGCAUACUGAAGGAGGGGAUUGCGUCUGAUUAGCGAGGUGGAGGGGUAACGGCCCCCCAAGGCGGUGAUCAGGAGCCGGUCUGAGAGGAUGAACGGCCACAUUGGGACUGAGACACGGCCCAGACUCCUACGGGAGGCAGCAGUUGGGAAUCUUCCGCAAUGGACGAAAGUCUGACGAAGCAACGCCGCGUGAGUGAUGACGGCCUUCGGGUUGUAAAGCUCUGUUAAUCGGGACGCGGUACCGGAAUAGAAAGCCACGGCUAACUACGUGCCAGCAGCCGCGGUAAUAC
rnacentral:rRNA from 1 species